UCACCGCCGCCAUCUUUACCGGGGAAACACCACAGUGCAGUACCACGUGACGCGCAAAGGCCUUGGCCUGUUUACCCCCAAGAACUCCGUCCAGAGCGGGAGGCGGUUGACAGUCACGUGACCCACAGUAGCACCUCCUUUUUCGGAAGUGAUGUUGAUGGGCGUUUUGGGGAAAAGGGGACAUCCUUUGGAAGCUACCAUAUUGAGAAGGUCAGAAGGCGAGUAGGCGCAAUGUGAGCGCAUGGAGCGUAUCCCGGAAGUUACACGAUAAUUAUACCACCAGGCAGCUCUAAUACAUGGGAAUGUGUGUGCCUUACAUUGGGCAACGCUGGUACUGCCACAAAUUUCUUGAUGAAAACUGUAUAGACCUCCAAUGUGGUCUUUACCCUGGGCACACCAAUGUCACAAAGAUACAUUUAUCUUUUGACCUUUAUUAAUAAAGUUUUGUCAUAAAUCA